rnacentral:sRNA from 1 species
ACUGCUUUUCUUUGAUGUCCCCAAAUAUUGAGGAGCCCGAUAGUUUCAACCCCUUUGGUGAAAUAACUGUCGGGUUUUUUAUU